rnacentral:lncRNA from 1 species
UUUUUUUAGGAUCUUUAGGAUAUUUUUGGGAUCAUAGAAUUUAAAAUUAGAAGAUACCUUAAAGACCUCCCUAAUCUGAAUUCUUCAAUUUAUAGGUGAGGAAACAGAGACCUGGAGAGAAUAAAUGGCUUGUUGAGCCCAGGAUGGCCCUGGGAUUGGCUUUGGGGUUCUGCCUUCCUCCUCCUGACUCCACCAUGGAUCCCACACUCUGGGCCGGUGAAUGGUGGCUAACCUACAAGAUGUUUAAAUGCGGAGUGGACUUCCUUAUUCCCUCAGCAGGACAUAGCUAGAGAUACCCAGGGAGACAAAACCUGGGUUUUGGAAUCAUGCUGCAGGACUGAGGUUGGAGCUUUCCCCCUUCUUGGCAUGAAGAUUCCAUAAAGCACCACAAUAGAGUGGAAAGAGGAUUAUAUUUGGAAUGGGAAGAUCUGAGUUUGAAUCCCUGCUAUAUCUUUUGCUAGUUGUGUGCCCUUAUUCAAAUCACUUCCCUUUUGGUGGCCUCAUUUUUUUCAUCUCUAAAAUAGGAGGAGGGAGUUAAAAAUAAUAGAAAUUGAAUGUCAUGAAAUUAUAAUGAUCAAUACUGACCCUAAAUAACAGAUAUGAAAAGGUACCUCUACCACUUCUUUGCAGAGGAGCUAUGGG